CCUACGUGAGGCAGCAGUAGGGAAUAUUGCUCAAUGGGGGAAACCCUGAAGCAGCAACGCCGCGUGGAGGAUGAAGGUUUUCGGAUUGUAAACUCCUUUUGUUAGAGAAGAUAAUGACGGUAUCUAACGAAUAAGCAACGGCUAACACCGUCCCAGCAGCCGCGGUAAUACGGAGGGUGCGAGCGGUAAUCGGAAUCACUGGGCGUAAAGUGCGCGUAGGCGGUAUAUCAAGUCACAUGUGAAAUCCUAUGGCUUAACCAUAGAACUGCAUUUGAAACUGGUAUUCUAGAGUAUGGGAGAGGUAGGUGGAAUUCUAGGUGUAGGGGUAAAAUCCGUAGAGAUCAGGAGGAAUACUCGUUGCGAAGGCGACCAGCUGGAACAUAACUGACGCUGAUGCGCGAAAGCGUGGGGAGCAAACAGGAUUAGAUACCCUGGUAGUC
rnacentral:rRNA from 1 species